rnacentral:lncRNA from 1 species
AUAAAAACGUAACUUCCUCCGUCCCAAUUCGCUUUUCCUACUGUGGAAUCAUCUUCGCCAUAGUAACCUGUUUCUAUUCCUCCAUCAUGUCACCACCGCAGACGUUUCCGGCAAAACCGUUGUAUCAACGUUCGAUCUAAACCACCACCAUUUCGUUAGAGGCAGGUUUGGUUUCUUUAUUUUGACUCCAAUUUUUCUUUCUUUUUUACUGAAUCAUGAAGUUGGAGAGGAAGAGAUUUUAUUUUCUUUUGAUUUUUUUUUUGAGAGAAGAGAAAAGGAGAUCGGACGUGAGGGAGAGAGAGUUGAGAAGAAGAGUUU